GGCAGCAGAGGAAUGCAGAGCUUGUUGUGCUAUUCUGCUUCAUAAACCUGUGUCCUUGAAGUCUCCUGCAUCCCUACCCUGUCAGACUGAUUUAUGCAGUAGCCAUGUUUGUCAAAGUAUUUGGCACCAAUGACAUCAUCUCUGUUGAAAUGCUGGACAGCGUGAUGAGUCCCAGAUGUUAAUGCACGCCAAAAGUUGAGAAAGAAUGAAAUAUAAAGAUCAACUGUAACAGCUAUGGAGGUCUGUACUCAGUUUACAUCUGAUGUUCAUACAUGAAGAAUCUGGGAUUUUUUCAAGGGUUCCUAAAGCUGUUGAGACUUACAGGCAACCCUGUGGUUACUGUUAAGGCCAACAGAGCUGUACACAUCUUGCAGAAGCUGG